rnacentral:lncRNA from 1 species
AGGGGCACACAUCUGCACACAGCACUCGAGGUGUGGCUUUCUCAGUUCCCAGCACAAAGGGGCAAUCACUGCCCUGAUCCUGCUGGCUGCACUAUGGUUGACACAGAAUACCACUAUGCCCCUGGAAUUUUCCUGACAAAAAUUCCAUCCUCCCCCACGCCAACUAGGAUAUAAACAGUAGACAUUUUCCUUGGCCUUCCUUUGUUAUUAAUUAUUUUCAAAAAACACACACUUUAUGGUCUUCCACAGUAGUGACUAGUAGAAGUUCAAACUGAGCUUGUGCCUUUCUGAUGAUCUUUGCACCUGAGAUGGGGGCUGAGGCCUAGGACACAGGGUGGGCUGUGUGGGAAAGGCUCUUUGGCACUGCACAGGGCAUCUUUGGGGUCAUUUAGGGGAGAAGCACAAAGUGGAACAAGAGAGAGCUGUAGGUGAUAGAGAAAAGGCCUUUAUGACCUGGGGUGGCUACAUGCAAACCACCAGGCCUCUUGGAUAAGGUGCGGCCGCGCCCAUUGGGCCUUUGUGACCCGCAGUGACAUCGUGCCCAGAGGCCAUUGUGAUGCAGGUCCACGCAGUGACUGUGUGGGUAACAAAUCCCUGCAGUGGCCACUCUCAGGAGAGCAGCUCUCUGAGGAGGCAGCAGCUUCUCUGGAGGCAGCAGCUCCCCUGGGUGAUUGUGGCCAGUGUUCAUCAGAGCACUCCCACAAUGUCAAAGAAGCAGGAGGCAAAUGCCCACGACCAGCCCCGUGAGGGGCAGCCACUGCUGUACCUGCGGCGACAGGUGAGCCACAGGCAGCCAGAGGCAGCAGCACGGGUCACCUGGACGACCAUCACAUCCAUCCCUGGGGACAGGCCGACUCUGUUGCCCAAACCCAUCCGGUGCCAGAGCCCCACCAGGUCCUGCUCUCGCAGGCGCAGGCAGGAGGGCGGGCACUCAGUGCCCCACAGCAGUGUCACACGGCCACAGAGAUUGUCGGUGUGUGACUUGCCGCCUCUCCAUGGCCCUCACUUGACACUGGCACCUCCAAGCCAGCUCAGUGGUCACAGCUCAGGAGUGUCCACUGAGAGCGUGAACCUGCCCCCUCUGGCUGCAGCAGCAGCAGCAGCAGCAGCCACCUCUGGAUCCUGUUCCAGAGGCACAGCACAUGCUGUGGGAGCAGCCUGUGCCAGUGUCAAGCUGCCCCCUCUGCCAGCAGCAGCAGCAGCAGGAGCCUCUGUGUCUUUUUCCAGAGGCACAGCACUGUGUGCUGCAGGCCCCAUGGCCAGGGGUCAGAGAGAGCCUGUGCCACCUUCUCCAUGGGGCCCUGUGGCUGCAGGCAGAGCCCAGGGAACACCUUCCCUGGAGAGCAGAAAGGCAGGGCUCUGGCAUGGGUCAGCGGCAAGGCAGGGCCAUGGCCUGCGUCCUGUGCAAGCCGCACGCGGCCUGCCGCUCCGCACUGGGACCCAGCCGGCUCCUGGGAAGCACCUGGGGCACUCUGGGACACAGGAGCUUGUUGAGGUGCAGGAAGGGAAGGGUGGCAACAUCUACAGCGGACUUUUUGGAGGCCUGAGCCCAUCCCUGUCAGAAGACAGGUUCAUCAUGUCCACCUGCACCCAGGAGCAGCCAUGUGCCCAGCAAGAGGUGGAUGCAGAGCCCCAGGAGCUGUCCGGUGCAUCCAGAGGCUCCGCAGAAGAGACAGGAACAUACUCUGAGCUCCUGUCUGCUGGCCAGUUGGCAGAGCAGAGCUCUGUCUCUGAAAACUCCCAGCCCUGGGACUCUUCCCUAACGGAGCUAGAGGAAAAGCGGGAGGAGGAAGAGCUCCCAGCAACAAAGGCUGAAGGAGAGCGGGACAGCUCCCUGCAGAGUGUCGUCACUUGCCCCGUUGAAUGA